rnacentral:lncRNA from 1 species
AAUCUGAUCAAAAUUUCUAAGUUGGAACCUUUGUUUCAUACCUGAGCCAUUUUGAUCUAGAUUAGCAUUCGGGGACCCUUCUUCAUGGAACUUCAUAACGUGCCGUUUGAUAUUCCGUGAUCUCUAGCAUUGUUUGGUUUUUAUACAAGAACUUCAAAAGCAAUCUCAGGAGAUGAUGCAUAGGACUUAUCAAGACAUACUUAGGCGGACCUGUGCCUUAGUGACUUGAAACGAGACAAGAACUUGUUAAAUUAUGUUAUGUACUCUUUGGUUCUUGUUUAAAACAAUGUAAACUUUCAUGUUUGAUUAAUAAAACGAAA